AUUUGGGAUGAUGAUUAAAAUAUGGCGUUGUGCUUAGCUGCUUCAAAGCUCUAUUCAGAUACUCCAUCACCGACACAAAUAAAUAAGGUGACAUGGGGUCACCUUGUCUUAACCCCUUUCUUGCUUGAAACUUCUGAGUUAAUCCCCAUUUAUCAGCAGAGAAUACGACACCGUACUUACACAUUCUAUAAUAAGAUUUACCAU
rnacentral:lncRNA from 1 species